AUGAGGCUGACGAUGAGGAUGGUGCCAACAAUGGAGAAAGAAGAAGAAGAAGAAGAAAAUAGUGACAUUAGUGUGAAGAAAGGCAGAAGGGACGGAAAGGCUUUGAAUAUAUUCAGAGUACCAUAUCUUUAUAAGCAUUCGUCAUCAUUGGGCACAUCCAUAAGACACUAUGGAAUUUCUCCUGAGGGAAUACAGGUAAGCAUAAUAGGUAGUCAUCAAUUGAGUUUCUACAACAGCAUACUAUUGUAA